rnacentral:lncRNA from 1 species
AGUGCUCAGCCUUCGAACAAAUAGUGUGACACAAAUAGAUGGCAAAUCGACCUCCACGCCUCUUUUUCUCGAUGACAAAUGCCGAAACACUUCAGUGAACCAGGUUGAGUUUGGCACUAUGUCAAAGAGAAAGGGAGAUUAACGGGUCGUGUUUAUGCGUGGAAGAAGCUUUCAGGGGUUGUUUAGGUGGUGGAGCAGCGGUGAUGCCAUGACAGUGGGGGUGGUUGCCGGUGGUGGUGAGGCGUUUUCAGGUCAACGCCAACAUAGGAUGAUAGAUAAUGUGGAUCUCUACAUGUUUAUGUAAGUAUUGUAUGAAGGAGAGGCCUAAAACUCGAUGAAUUUACAAAAUGAAGUAAGCUAGGGUUUCGGUUUUUAGUUUAUUCAUGGAGUUUGGGAGGUAUUCAAGGGAUUUGGUUGGGAUAGGCAGAAAGAAGGAGGAAGAAAGGAGGAGAUAAAAAAUUUUGGGUUGAUUAAAGGUGCGCCGCCGCCGUGAGGUAAUUUCUUGCUAGCGAUGCCAGUGUGGACAGGGGGCAGCGGUAGAUGGGAAAGGGAGAAAGAAGAAAGGCUCUAGGGUUUGGAUUU